UCUUCUGUUUCCCAGAAGGAACAGAAGCCUGCUAGAAGGCCAGUAGCAGAUGAGAGGUUGAAAGGGAGUUCAGAGAUCAGUUUGAAGCAAACCAAAAUUAAUUUCUGCAUCUGGCUACAGAAAAGAAAGUGCCAGGCCAGAGUUAUAGGAACUCUCAGAGACACUAACCUCUUGAAAAUCUUGUCCAGCAGAGCAGUGACGUCUGUGAUAGCUUGAAAGCAGAGGGAUCACGACGGUUGUCUUGGGAGAGCAGGCUCUGACGGAGGUGAGACUGCCCAGGGUGUCUG
rnacentral:lncRNA from 1 species